CGGGACACGUGGUAUCCUGUCUGAAUAUGGGGGGACCAUCCUCCAAGGCUAAAUACUCCUGACUGACCGAUAGUGAACCAGUACCGUGAGGGAAAGGCGAAAAGAACCCCGGCGAGGGGAGUGAAAAAGAACCUGAAACCGUGUACGUACAAGCAGUGGGAGCCUCUUUAUGGGGUGACUGCGUACCUUUUGUAUAAUGGGUCAGCGACUUAUAUUCUGUAGCAAGGUUAACCGAAUAGGGGAGCCGAAGGGAAACCGAGUCUUAACUGGGCGUUAAGUUGCAGGGUAUAGACCCGAAACCCGGUGAUCUAGCCAUGGGCAGGUUGAAGGUUGGGUAACACUAACUGGAGGACCGAACCGACUAAUGUUGAAAAAUUAGCGGAUGACUUGUGGCUGGGGGUGAAAGGCCAAUCAAACCGGGAGAUAGCUGGUUCUCCCCGAAAGCUAUUUAGGUAGCGCCUCGUGAAUUCAUCUCCGGGGGUAGAGCACUGUUUCGGCAAGGGGGUCAUCCCGACUUACCAACCCGAUGCAAACUGCGAAUACCGGAGAAUGUUAUCACGGGAGACACACGGCGGGUGCUAACGUCCGUCGUGAAGAGGGAAACAACCCAGACCGCCAGCUAAGGUCCCAAAGUCAUGGUUAAGUGGGAAACGAUGUGGGAAGGCCCAGACAGCCAGGAUGUUGGCUUAGAAGCAGCCAUCAUUUAAAGAAAGCGUAAUAGCUCACUGGUCGAGUCGGCCUGCGCGGAAGAUGUAACGGGGCUAAACCAUGCACCGAAGCUGCGGCAGCGACACUAUGUGUUGUUGGGUAGGGGAGCGUUCUGUAAGCCUGCGAAGGUGUACUGUGAGGUAUGCUGGAGGUAUCAGAAGUGCGAAUGCUGACAUAAGUAACGAUAAAGCGGGUGAAAAGCCCGCUCGCCGGAAGACCAAGGGUUCCUGUCCAACGUUAAUCGGGGCAGGGUGAGUCGACCCCUAAGGCGAGGCCGAAAGGCGUAGUCGAUGGGAAACAGGUUAAUAUUCCUGUACUUGGUGUUACUGCGAAGGGGGGACGGAGAAGGCUAUGUUGGCCGGGCGACGGUUGUCCCGGUUUAAGCGUGUAGGCUGGUUUUCCAGGCAAAUCCGGAAAAUCAAGGCUGAGGCGUGAUGACGAGGCACUACGGUGCUGAAGCAACAAAUGCCCUGCUUCCAGGAAAAGCCUCUAAGCAUCAGGUAACAUCAAAUCGUACCCCAAACCGACACAGGUGGUCAGGUAGAGAAUACCAAGGCGCUUGAGAGAACUCGGGUGAAGGAACUAGGCAAAAUGGUGCCGUAACU
rnacentral:rRNA from 1 species